rnacentral:rRNA from 1 species
GCUUGCUUCUCUUGAGAGCGGCGGACGGGUGAGUAAUGCCUAGGAAUCUGCCUGGUAGUGGGGGAUAACGUCCGGAAACGGACGCUAAUACCGCAUACGUCCUACGGGAGAAAGCAGGGGACCUUCGGGCCUUGCGCUAUCAGAUGAGCCUAGGUCGGAUUAGCUAGUUGGUGGGGUAAUGGCUCACCAAGGCGACGAUCCGUAACUGGUCUGAGAGGAUGAUCAGUCACACUGGAACUGAGACACGGUCCAGACUCCUACGGGAGGCAGCAGUGGGGAAUAUUGGACAAUGGGCGAAAGCCUGAUCCAGCCAUGCCGCGUGUGUGAAGAAGGUCUUCGGAUUGUAAAGCACUUUAAGUUGGGAGGAAGGGCAGUAAAUUAAUACUUUGCUGUUUUGACGUUACCGACAGAAUAAGCACCGGCUAACUCUGUGCCAGCAGCCGCGGUAAUACAGAGGGUGCAAGCGUUAAUCGGAAUUACUGGGCGUAAAGCGCGCGUAGGUGGUUCGUUAAGUUGGAUGUGAAAUCCCCGGGCUCAACCUGGGAACUGCAUUCAAAACUGACGAGCUAGAGUAUGGUAGAGGGUGGUGGAAUUUCCUGUGUAGCGGUGAAAUGCGUAGAUAUAGGAAGGAACACCAGUGGCGAAAGCGACCACCUGGACUGAUACUGACACUG